GCAGAGAUGGCUCGGAGGUUAAGAGCACUGGCUGCUCUUCCAGAGGACCUGGGUUCAAUUCCCAGUAACCACA
rnacentral:tRNA from 1 species